rnacentral:sRNA from 1 species
GCUGGGUGCAAUGGUGCACACCUGUAAUCCCAGCGGCUUAGGAGGCUGAGGCAGGAGGAUCGCGAGUUCAAAGCCAGCCUCAGCAACUCAGUGAGGCUCUAAGCAACUCAGUGAGACCCUGUCUCUA